rnacentral:misc_RNA from 1 species
GUGGAAAUACCCAUACUAUUGAUGGUUGUGCGACAUUUUUUCGAAGAGAUAGGUUUUCACAUGUCAAGAAAUACGAGGUUGAGUUUAAUAAAGCUGCUCAGUCCUUGACUGAAGCUGUUGUUCCAAGUGCUCAGAGGAAAACUGCUUUAAAUCGUUUGGUCAAGGAUAAUGUUGCGUUGAUAGUGGUUUUGGAAGCAAAAUUCAGUAACCAAGGUGCAGAUAAUCUGGGGAAACGGCAACUUCUUUGUGUUGCAAAUACACAUGUGAAUGUCCAUCAAGAUUUAAAGGACGUCAAGCUUUGGCAGGUUCUUACUCUCUUGAAAGGAUUGGAGAAAAUAGCUGCCAG